GGGUGAGUAACACGUAGGUAAUCUGCCUUAGAGCCUGGGAUAACAGUUGGAAACGAUUGCUAAUACCGGAUGAUAUAAGAGUCGUAAAGAUUCUUAUUAAAAGGUGCCUUUAAAGCAUCACUUUAAGAUGAGCCUGCGGCGUAUUAGCUAGUUGGUGAGGUAAAAGCUUACCAAGGCGACGAUGCGUAGCCGACCUGAGAGGGUGAACGGCCACACUGGGACUGAGACACGGCCCAGACUCCUACGGGAGACAGCAGUUAGGAAUAUUCGUCAAUGGGGGAAACCCUGAACGAGCAAUGCCGCGUGAAGGAAGACGGUCCUCUGGAUUGUAAACUUCUGUUGUUAGGGAAGAACGGUAAGUAUAGGAAAUGAUACUUAAGUGACGGUACCUUUCAAGAAAGCAUCGGCUAACUACGUGCCAGCAGCCGCGGUAAUACGUAGGAUGCGAGCGUUAUCCGGAAUUAUUGGGUGUAAAGGGUGUGUAGGCGGUAAUAUAAGUCUAAGGUCUAAGGCUGAAGCUCAACUUCAGUUCGCCUUAGAAACUGUAUUUCUUGAGUAUGGUAGAGGCAAAUGGAAUUUCUAGUGUAGCGGUAAAAUGCGUAGAUAUUAGAAGGAACACC
rnacentral:rRNA from 1 species